UAAGAAGCCUUUGUUUAAUUACAUUUCCUG
rnacentral:piRNA from 1 species